AGAAUUUUCUCCAGUAUGGUGGCAUCGUUGUAUACCUGUUCAAUAAUUCAACACUCUCAUUAACUGAUUUAUAUUGAAACUAUAUCAAGAAACUGUAAAAUGCUUCAAGGAAGACUACUGCCAAGCCUCUUUAAGGACAUGAACCACAUUCCUUAACCAAGACAGCAGAGAACCUGGCGACCAAAUCGAGAAUCUCUAGUAGUGCUGUUCUAUAACCAACCACUAGGAGAGUCCUUUGAGCUCACCACACCUUCUCAAGGGCAAUUAGGGAUGGGCAACAUUGGCCUUGCCAACAGUGCUCAUAUCCCAUGGACAAAGUAUAUAUAUUAUAUAUCCUUUGCAUAGAAACUGUUUGUAUUAUCUUAAACCAGACCAUCUUUCAAAAAGCAAAAAGUUAAGGUCUGUGUU